GACGAACCGUGCGAACGUUGUUCGGAAUCACUGGGCUUAAAGGGUGCGUAGGCGGGCUGCCAAGUUCGGGGUGAAAUCCUCCGGCUCAACCGGAGAACUGCCUCGAAUACUGGCGGUCUCGAGGGGGAUAGGGGCAUGCGGAACUAUGGGUGGAGCGGUGAAAUGCGUUGAUAUCCAUAGGAACUCCGGUGGCGAAAGCGGCGUGCUGGAUCCCUUCUGACGCUGAGGCACGAAAGCCGGGGGAGCAAACGGG
rnacentral:rRNA from 1 species